ACCAUAUGAUAUCUGGAGAAUAGCACAUUACGAAGGACAUCACAGAGAUCCAAUCAUGUUACUUUUUGUUUAGGUACCACUAGAAGAUACAGUUAAUGAUAUUCAAUAAAUUUAUUUUAGUUAAACUCAUGACUGGAUCUAGUUAUGACUUGUGAACUAGUUUUAUUUCUUUUGAUGCUUAAACAUGGAUUUGACCUAAUUAUGACUUUCGAAAUCAUUUGCUUUACUUUGUAACUUAAUCACCGAUGGACUGGUAGCCUGUGAGGGGUUGUCUGAUUUCACUGGCACAAUAAAUUCUGUGAUGCAUUUUAAAUAUU
rnacentral:lncRNA from 1 species